rnacentral:lncRNA from 1 species
GCAGAGCGGACGCCACUGCGGCGGCGGUGGCGGCGGCCGCGGUGACGAUGGGGCAACUGGAGAAUGGGAUCCCGGUGGCCGUGGGGUCCGUGGGGAAAGGAGGUCCCUGAGGCUCGGAAAUAGGAACCCUGGACCGUAGGACGGGCCGCCUGGACCAAGACCGGGCAGUGGUUUCCCGCGGGCCAAGGGCGCGCCUGGGAACCGCUUUGAUCCCUGACCUGGGGCGGCGAGGCCUAUUUGGGGAGGCAAGGCGGGGCCCGACCGUGGCCGCCUUCUCUGCAAAACUUCCCAAGUGCCAUUAAUUAGCUUAGCAAAUAUUUAUUGAUCUGCUACUGUGUCCCAGCCGCCGUGGAGCCCUCGGUCUAGUGGGGAAGGAGGACAAGAAGCAAGAUUAAUAAGCAAAAUAGUGCAGCAUGAGCCACCAAGCCAGGCCCCAGAAGGACCUGGGUUUAAAACACGACUCCAUUUCUACUACCUGGGUGAUGCAUGGGUAAUACCAGGCAGGUUUACCAGAGCAUCUACACCUCACUUUCUUCACCUGUGAAACAAACAAUAAGGCUGGGUGCGGUGGCUGACAUCUGUAAUCCCAGCACUUUCGGAAGCCAAGGUGGGCAGAUGACCUGAGGUAAGGAGUUCGAGACCAGCCUGGCCAACAUGGUGAAACCCCGUUUCUACUAAAAAUACAAAAAAAUUAAUUAGCCAGGCAUAGUGGCAGGUGCCUGUAAUCACAGCUACUCGGCAGGCUGAGGCAGGAGAAUUUCUUGAACCCAGGAGGUGGAGGUUACAGUGAGCCAAGAUCAUGUCAUUGCGCUCCAGCCUGGGUGACGAGAGUAAAACUCCAUCUCAAAAAAAAAAAAAAAAAAAAAAAAUGCUGGGCCCAGUGGCUCACGUCUGUAAUCCCAACACUUUGGGAGGCCAAGGCAGGUGGAUCAUGAGGUCAAGAGAUUGAGACCAUCCUGGCCAAUGUGGUGAAACACCAUCUCUACUAAAAAUACAAAAAUUAGCUGGCUGUGGUGGCGCGUGCCUGUAGUGCCAGCUACUCAGGAGGCUGAGGCAGAAUUGCAUGAACCCAGGAGGCGGAGGUUGCAGUGAGUCGAGCGUGCCACUAUACUCCAGCCUGGUGACAGAGGGAGAUUCCGUCUCAAAAACAAAACAAGACAAAACAAAAAAAACCCACCAGAAACAAUAAUGGCUCCCACUUCCACUGUUUGGUUAUGAGGAAUCAUGACAGCAGGUAGCCCACCUGCUAGCUCUCUGAUCCUCAGCUAGUGUUAUUGAAUAGUGCACAGUAAGUGAGCAAGUAGAAGUGGGAUCUGAACUCGAUUCCUCAUUCAUUCAAGUAGUUAUUUUUUUGUUUUUUUGUUUUUGUUUUUGAGACACAGGCUUGCUGGGUCAUCCAGCCUGGACUGCGGUGGCACGAUCAGUACUCACUGUAGCCUCGACCUCCUGGGCUCAAGCGAUCCUCCUGCCUCAGCCUCCCGAGUAGCUUGGACUACAAGGGUGGGACACCACACUCAGCUAAUUUUCUUAAAAUUUUUUGUAGAGACAGUCACACUAUGUCGUCCAGGCUGGUUUCAAACUCCUGGGCUCAGGUGAUCCUCCCACCUCAGCCUCCCAAAGUGCUGGGAUUACAGGCGUGAGCCAAGGCGCCCGGCCAAAUAGUAUUUCUUAUGCUCUCUCCAAAUGCUAAGCAUUGAGCUAGGAAUACCCUGCAGCAAUGCAUGGAGGAGGCAGGGUUGCUGCCCAUGGAGUGGAUGGUAUGACUGUUCUCUAAUUGUCUUUUAUGCUAAUCACACUAAUAUGCAAUAGUGUAAAGAAAAACAGGCCGGGCCAGGCGCGGUGCCUCACGCCUGUAAUCCCAGCACUUGGGAGGCCGAGGCAGGCGGAUCACCUGAGGUCAGGAGUUCAGGACUAGCCUGACCGACGUGGAGAAACCCUGUCUCUACUAAAAAAAUACAAAAUUAGCCGGGUGUGGUGGUGCAUGCCUGUAAUCCCAGCUACUUGGGAGGCUGAGGCAAGAGAAUCGCUUGAACCCAGCGGGCAGAGGUUGCGGUGAGCUGAGAUCAUGCCGUUGCACUCCAGCCUGGGCAACAAGAGCGAAACUCCGUCUCAAAAAAGAAAAACAGGCCGGUUGUGGUAGCUCAUGCAUGCCUAUAAUGGCAGUACUUUGGGAGGCCCAGGCUGGCAGAUCACUUGAGGACAGGCGUUCAAGACCAGCUUGGGUAACAUUGUGAAACCCCAUCUCUACAAAGC